UACGUAGGGUGCGAGCGUUGUCCGGAAUUACUGGGCGUAAAGAGUUCGUAGGCGGUUUGUCGCGUCGUUCGUGAAAACUUGGGGCUUAACUCCAAGCGUGCGGGCGAUACGGGCAGACUUGAGUACUACAGGGGAGACUGGAAUUCCUGGUGUAGCAGUGAAAUGCGUAGAUAUCAGGAGGAACACCGGUGGCGAAGGCGGGUCUCUGGGCCGAUAUUGACGCUGAGGAGCGAAAGCGUGGGGAGCGAACAGGA
rnacentral:rRNA from 1 species